UGAGGGAAUAUUUGGGUCAAUGGACGGGAGUCUGAACCAGCCAAGUAGCGUGCAGGAUGACGGCCCUAUGGGUUGUAAACUGCUUUUAUAGGGGGAUAAAGUGUGCCACGUGUGGCAUAUUGCAGGUACCCUAUGAAUAAGGACCGGCUAAUUCCGUGCCAGCAGCCGCGGUAAUACGGAAGGUCCGGGCGUUAUCCGGAUUUAUUGGGUUUAAAGGGAGCGUAGGCCGUCUUAUAAGCGUGUUGUGAAAUGUCGGGGCUCAACCUGGGCAUUGCAGCGCGAACUGUGAGACUUGAGUGCGCAGGAAGUAGGCGGAAUUCGUCGUGUAGCGGUGAAAUGCUUAGAUAUGACGAAGAACU
rnacentral:rRNA from 1 species